AACGCGAAGAACCUUACCUACCCUUGACAUGUGGAAUGCCGAAGAGAUUUGGCAGUGCGCAAGAGAACCGGAACACAGGUGCUGCAUGGCUGGAGCGUGGUGAGAUGUUGGGUUAAGCCGCGACGAGCGCAACCCUUGCUUAGUUGCCAGCACGUAAUGGUGGGAACUAAGGAGACCGCCGGUGACAAACCGGAGGAAGGUGGGGAUGACGAAGAAUGGCCCUUACGGCCAGGGCUACACACGUACUACAAUGGUAGGGACAGAGGGCUGCAAGCCGGCGACGGUAAGCCAACCAGAAACCCUAAGCGGAUUGGAGUGCAACGACCAUGAAGGGAAGCUAGUAAGCGGAAGCAUGGCGGUGAAUACGUCCGGGUUGUACACACCG
rnacentral:rRNA from 1 species